rnacentral:lncRNA from 1 species
AGAGAGAGAGAGAGACAAAUAAAGAAAAAGAUUGCUUCUAAACUUAUACAAUCUAAACCCUCCACCCCGUUCUCUCUCUCUCUCUCUCUCUGAGUCCUGCCGCUAUAAAUAGUAAGUAGUCGGUGUCUGGGGUUAUAAACUUGCUUUGGCGACAUAAGUGAGAGGAUUUUGGAGUUCCGAAAUUUUCUAAGAGAAAGACAGAGAGAGAGAGAGAGAGAGAGAG